rnacentral:rRNA from 1 species
ACUCCUACGGGAGGCGAGCAGUGGGGGAACUAUUGGACAAUGGGGGGAACCCCUGAUCCAGCCAUGCCGCGUGUGUGAAGAAGGCCUUUGGUUGUAAAGCACUUUAAGCGAGGAGGAGGCUUACCUGGUUAAUACCUGGGAUAAGUGGACGUUACUCGCAGAAUAAGCACCGGCUAACUCUGUGCCAGCAGCCGCGGUAAUACAGAGGGUGCAAGCGUUAAUCGGAUUUACUGGGCGUAAAGCGCGCGUAGGUGGCUAAUUAAGUCAAAUGUGAAAUCCCCCGAGCUUAACUUGGGAAUUGCAUUCGAUACUGGUUAGCUAGAGUAUGGGAGAGGAUGGUAGAAUUCCAGGUGUAGCGGUGAAAUGCGUAGAGAUCUGGAGGAAUACCGAUGGCGAAGGCAGCCAUCUGGCCUAAUACUGACACUGAGGUGCGAAAGCAUGGGGAGCAAACAGGAUUAGAUACCCUGGUAG